GACGUAGGAUGCAAGCGUUGUCCGGAAUUAUUGGGCGUAAAGAGUUCGUAGGCGGCAUGUUAAGUCUGGUGUUAAAGCCCGAGGCUCAACCUCGGAUCAGCACUGGAUACUGGCAAGCUAGAGUACAGUAGAGGCAAGGGGAAUUCCUAGUGUAGCGGUGAAAUGCGUAGAUAUUAGGAGGAACACCAGUGGCGUAAGCGCCUUGCUGGGCUGUAACUGACGCUGAGGAACGAAAGCCAGGGUAGCAAAUGGG
rnacentral:rRNA from 1 species